CCCUUAGAUGUCCUGGGCCGCCCGCGCGUUACACUGAUGCAUUCAACGAGCUUAUAACCUUGGCCGAGAGGCCUGGGCAAUCUUGUUAACGUGCAUCGUGAUAGGGAUAGAUUAUUGAAAUUAUUAAUCUUGAACGAGGAAUUCCUAGUAAACGCAGAUCAUCAAUCUGCAUUGAUUACGUCCCUGCCCUUUGUACACACCGCCCGUCGCACCUACCGAUUGGAUGGUCCGGUGAAGCCUCGGGAUUGUGGUUCUUGCCGCUUUAUUGUAGCGUGACCGCGAGAACUUGUCUAAACCUUAUCAUCUAGAGGAAGGUGAAGUCGUAACA
rnacentral:rRNA from 1 species